rnacentral:rRNA from 1 species
GACGAACGCUGGCGGCGCGCCUAACACAUGCAAGUCGAACGAGCGAGCGAGAGCUUGCUUUCUCGCGCGAGUGGCGAACGGGUGAGUAACGCGUGAGGAACCUGCCUUUAAGAGGGGGACAACAGUUGGAAACGACUGCUAAUACCGCAUAAGCCCACGGCCCGGCAUCGAGCAGGGGGAAAAGUAGCAAGGCGGUUUGAGAUGGCAUGGCGUCCGAUCAGCUUGUUGGUGAGGUAGCGGCCCACCACGGCGACGAUCGGUAGCCGGGCUGGGAGGGGAACUGGCACGACUGGGACGGAGAUAAGGCACAGACCCGAAUCGGAGGGAGGGGAGGAGAAGAGUGUACAAUGGGAGGAAGCAUGAUCCAGUGCAGCGGCGUGGGGGAGAGGGGGAAUCGGUUCGGAUUGUGAUUUCGUGUGGUACGAAGAGUGAGUGACGGUAACGGGUAAAGAAGUGACGGCUAACUACGUG